AGAGUUUGAUCCUGGCUCAGGACGAACGCUGGCGGCGUGCCUAACACAUGCAAGUCGAGCGAGAUCCAUCCAGUGGCAACACUGGUGAAGAUCUAGCUGGCGAACGGGUGAGUAACACGUGAGAAACCUGCCCCGGAGACCGGGAUAACUCGAGGAAACUCGAGCUAAUACCGGAUACCCCCACCGAACCGCAUGAUUUGGUGAGGAAAUGCUCCGACGCUCCGGGCAGGGUCUCGCGGCCUAUCAGCUAGUUGGUGAGGUAACGGCUCACCAAGGCUAAGACGGGUAGCUGGUCUGAGAGGACGAUCAGCCACACUGGGACUGAGACACGGCCCAGACUCCUACGGGAGGCAGCAGUGGGGAAUCUUGCGCAAUGGGCGAAAGCCUGACGCAGCAACGCCGCGUGGGGGAUGAAGGCUCUCGGGUUGUAAACCCCUCUCAGGAGGGACGAAAAUGACGGUACCUCCAGAAGNAAGCCCCGGCCAACUACGUGCCAGCAGCCGCGGUAACACGUACGGGGCGAGCGUUGUCCGGAUUUACUUGGGCGUAAAGAGCUCGUAGGCGGUUUGGCAAGUCGCGNGUGUGACAAUUUCGAGGCUCAACCUCGAAACGCCACUCGAUACUGCCAUGACUGGAGUCCGGUAGAGCGAGUGCGGAAUUCCU
rnacentral:rRNA from 1 species